GAUGAACGCUGGCGGCGUGCCUAAUACAUGCAAGUCGAGCGAACAGACGAGGAGCUUGCUCCUCUGACGUUAGCGGCGGACGGGUGAGUAACACGUGGAUAACCUACCUAUAAGACUGGGAUAACUCCGGGAAACCAGAGCUAAUACCGGAUAAUAUAUUGAACCGCAUGGUUCAAUAGUGAAAGACGGUUUUGCUGUCACUUAUAGAUGGAUCCGCGCCGCAUUAGCUAGUUGGUAAGGUAACGGCUUACCAAGGCAACGAUGCGUAGCCGACCUGAGAGGGUGAUCGGCCACACUGGAACUGAGACACGGUCCAGACUCCUACGGGAGGCAGCAGUAGGGAAUCUUCCGCAAUGGGCGAAAGCUUGACGGAGCAACGCCGCGUGAGUGAUGAAGGUCUUCGGAUCGUAAAACUCUGUUAUUAGGGAAGAACAAAUGUGUAAGUAACUAUGCACGUCUUGACGGUACCUAAUCAGAAAGCCACGGCUAACUACGUG
rnacentral:rRNA from 1 species